rnacentral:rRNA from 1 species
AACGAACGCUGGCGGCAUGCCUAACACAUGCAAGUCGAACGAGACCUUCGGGUCUAGUGGCGCACGGGUGCGUAACGCGUGGGAACCUGCCCUUAGGUUCGGAAUAACUCCCCGAAAGGGGUGCUAAUACCGGAUAAUGUCUUCGGACCAAAGAUUUAUCGCCUUUGGAUGGGCCCGCGUUGGAUUAGCUAGUUGGUAGGGUAAAAGCCUACCAAGGCGACGAUCCAUAGCUGGUCUGAGAGGAGGAUCAGCCACACUGGGACUGAGACACGGCCCAGACUCCUACGGGAGGCAGCAGUGGGGAAUAUUGGACAAUGGGCGAAAGCCUGAUCCAGCAAUGCCGCGUAAGUGAUGAAGGCCUUAGGGUUGUAAAGCUCUUUUACCCGGGAUGAUAAUGACAGUACCGGGAGAAUAAGCACCGGCUAACUCCGUG